UGACUAGAGUUACACUCAUCU
rnacentral:miRNA from 1 species